ensembl:lncRNA
CCCGCGGGCUGCGACUCACUCUGAGUGCGCCGGGCCGUUGGGCGGGAGACACCCUUCUUGUAACCCCGACCCGGUCUCCGUGAGAGAUUGGAAGGGUCUGCUGUUACUAGUCCAAUAUGCAUCUUCUGAGGAAGAGAUAUACCUGAAGGACAUCCCCACUUAAAUCUAUGGAGGGCAAUACUCCAAGUUUGGCUGCCUCCCCCAAAGAGCACUUGGAAAAACUGAGAUGCCUACGCUGCCAUAUAUCUUUUAAACUCCUACAUUCAAGACCAGCAACCACUGCUACAUACUCACCAUUUCUCCUUGGAUUAAUGCAAAGAAGCUGUUUGGUCCCGGGUAGAUUUUUGCUGCACUCUUCCUGGUUUACCCGUAGUAAUUUGUUCAACAUUGGCUCAAGAAAUAUUGGUGUUGGCGCGCAAGUCCUCUGAAGAGACUGUGUGCCCGCAGGUACCUGUGUUUUCCAAGAAAUAUUGGUGUCUACUACAUUGAAAGGUGAUCAGAGCCUUCCACCAUCUCGAGUGCUCUCUCUCUCUCUCUCUCUCUCUCUCUCGCUCUCGCUCUCGCUCUCGCUCUCGCUCUCGCUCUCGCUCUCGCUCUCUCUCUCUCCUCUCAGCUCCAGAGGUGAACACUCAGCUGUGCCACUCCUGUGCUCUACCAUCAUAGACUCUAACCCUCCGAAAACCUUAAAUCCUCAAGAGAAACGAGGAGGGAAAAAAAAAAAAAAACUACUUUCUUUACAAAUUGCAUUGGUCACAGUGUUUUGUCACCAUAGCAAUAGGGAAACACCCAAGGCACAAAGUAGCAGAAUAAAAAGCACGAAGCCCAAUAUUUUAUUUUGUUCUCUCAAACGAAUGCUAACUCUUCUGAUAUUUGAACAUGAGGAUGUUUGAUGACCAGAAAAGCUUGCCAAGUUCAAGGCAGAUACAGGGUCAACCAAAGAGAAUCAGCACAAGGUUACGGUGGACAGAUGGGUAGCUCGGAGCCAGAUUACUGAAUACCUGCAAGGAUGUGGUAAGGGGUGCU